CUCAGAGUUAGGCUGGAGAGGGGCGGUGUCCCUUCCGCCGCAGCCGCGGGGUUUCUGCUACAUCCCAUUCGCCACCUCCGCCAUCCUUUUUUCUGUGUGAGCAGAAGGGCUUGCAGUUGUUCUCUCCUGCCUAGUGUCUUCCAAGGGAUAGAUGCCAUUUCUUCUGCUGGUCUCUGGGGGUGAGGAGGGGCGCAGGGGAGCUUCUUGGGGGAAUCGCUCCAACUCUGUGGAGCUGGUGGUGCUGCCUGGUGGGGCUCUCUCUGCCCAGGACGUGGAACAACUUUCAGCCGGAGGACUAGAGGAAAUAGUUGUAGGGGAGGAAAAAUUGUUUCCUUCUAGCCUUUUAGGUCAUUUGGCUGGUCUACAAAUUAAAUUGAUGUAAGACAGAGGAACAUGAGAAAAACGAUUUGUCGACCGAAAGGUGAAAUAACAGUCUGGAAUUUUGCCGCUUCUUGGUUGACAGAAUCCAAGGGUAUAUUGUCACA
rnacentral:lncRNA from 10 species